AGGAAGGUAGCCGUACCAGUCAGUGGUAACACUGGGGCAAGCCGGUAGGGAGAGCGAUAGGCAAAUCCGUCGCUCACUAAUCCUGAGAGGUGACGCAUAGCCGGUUGAGGCGAAUUCGGUGAUCCUCUGCUGCCAAGAAAAGCCUCUAGCGAGCACACACACGGCCCGUACCCCAAACCGACACAGGUGGUCGGGUAGAGCAUACCAAGGCGUACGAGAUAACUAUGGUUAAGGAACUCGGCAAAAUGCCCCCGUAACUUCGGGAGAAGGGGGACCGGAAUAUCGUGAACACCCUUGCGGUGGGAGCGGGAUCCGGUCGCAGAAACCAGUGAGGAGCGACUGUUUACUAAAAACACAGGUCCGUGCGAAGUCGCAAGACGAUGUAUACGGACUGACGCCUGCCCGGUGCUGGAAGGUUAAGAGGACCCGUUAACCCGCAAGGGUGAAGCGGAGAAUUUAAGCCCCAGUAAACGGCGGUGGUAACUAUAACCAUCCUAAGGUAGCGAAAUUCCUUGUCGGGUAAGUUCCGACCUGCACGAAUGGCGUAACGACUUCUCAACUGUCUCAACCAUAGACUCGGCGAAAUUGCACUACGAGUAAAGAUGCUCGUUACGCGCGGCAGGACGAAAAGACCCCGGGACCUUCACUACAACUUGGUAUUGAUGUUCGGUACGGUUUGUGUAGGAUAGGUGGGAGACUGUGAAACCUCGACGCCAGUUGGGGCGGAGUCGUUGUUGAAAUACCACUCUGAUCGUAUUGGGCAUCUAACCUCGAACCCUGAAUCGGGUUUAGGGACAGUGCCUGGCGGGUAGUUUAACUGGGGCGGUUGCCUCCUAAAAUGUAACGGAGGCGCCCAAAGGUUCCCUCAACCUGGACGGCAAUCAGGUGGCGAGUGUAAAUGCACAAGGGAGCUUGACUGCGAGACUUACAAGUCAAGCAGGGACGAAAGUCGGGAUUAGUGAUCCGGCACCCCCGAGUGGAAGGGGUGUCGCUCAACGGAUAAAAGGUACCCCGGGGAUAACAGGCUGAUCUUCCCCAAGAGUCCAUAUCGACGGGAUGGUUUGGCACCUCGAUGUCGGCUCGUCGCAUCCUGGGGCUGGAGCAGGUCCCAAGGGUUGGGCUGUUCGCCCAUUAAAGCGGCACGCGAGCUGGGUUUAGAACGUCGUGAGACAGUUCGGUCUCUAUCCGCCGCGCGCGUCAGAAACUUGAGGAAACCUGUCCCUAGUACGAGAGGACCGGGACGGACGAACCUCUGGUGCACCAGUUGUCCCGCCAGGGGCACCGCUGGAUAGCCACGUUCGGUCAGGAUAACCGCUGAAAGCAUCUAAGCGGGAAACCUUCUCCAAGAUCAGGUUUCUCACCCACUUGGUGGGAUAAGGCCCCCCGCAGAACACGGGUUCAAUAGGUCAGACCUGGAAGCUCAGUAAUGGGUGUAGGGAACUGGUGCUAACCGGCCGAAAACUUACAACA
rnacentral:rRNA from 1 species